rnacentral:rRNA from 1 species
UACGAAGGGGGCUAGCGUUGCUCGGAAUCACUGGGCGUAAAGGGUGCGUAGGCGGGUCUUUUAAGUCAGGGGGUGAAAUCCUGGAGCUCAACUCCAGAACUGCCUUUGAUACUGAGGAUCUUGAGUAUGGGAGAGGUGAGUGGAACUGCGAGUGUAGAGGUGAAAUUCGUAGAUAUUCGCAAGAACACCAGUGGCGAAGGCGGCUCACUGGCCCAUUACUGACGCUGAGGCACGAAAGCGUGGGGAGCGAACAGG